GGUGUGAAUAUAUAUAGUUACAUCAUGACAUAAAUCCUACCAAGUAGUAGUUGCAUCACAGAUAUGAACAUCAGGGAACCUAGUUUCCUUCUACACUAUGAUGAAUAAUGAGUUUGUAUCCAUAAAUGGUGUGGAAGAAAAAAUGACACUCAUGUAAUGGCACAACUUCUUAUCUCCACUCAUCCAGACUCCAAAGAAACAGUUAUACUCUCGUAAGCUUAAAACUAAAGUGUACAACUGUCAAAAAGCCUUCUGAUUUCAAAAACAGGUUUGUUCAUUUGUUGAUGCGUGUUUCUUUAUUUCAAGUCCUGGAACAAUGUCUAGUCCUAAGAGUGUGAUCCACGGUAGCUUGGUUCUAUAGGGCUGUACUGAAACUUACUAUGUUAAAGAAUUCAAUCUAAGCUCAAGCAAUGACUGUUUAACAUAUGCAAUACAAUUCCAAAUAAGCUGUUCAAGUCACUGUCAAUGCUUCCAGACCUUACGUUGAUGUCAUGCAAUGCAACUGGAAUUUUCUCUUGCAAUGCAGAGAUGAAAUAAUGGCUACAACUGGAGAAGGUCUUGAAUGGAUUAGGGAGAUAUGAGUGAAAGUGUCUGAAAAAUUCAAUAUGCAACACCCUUUAUCUAUUUCUUUGGAGAGUUCAGGGUUUAGUGAGAAAAUGGUGACCUUAGAACAAGAACAAUAUCUUAUAUCAAGUUGCAAGGUACUUACUUUCUACAGAGAUGAGGCGUAUGAAAUGGGGCAAAAUCUCGGGAGACAAAAGUCUUAGCUAAGGGAAGAAAGCAGUACCUACGGAAGAGCUGCGUAAUGGGUUCUAUCAUAAUGGCUUAUCAAAGAAACUCAUCUGGUACAUAUACUUGCAAGUUAUAGUGAAUUUGUUCACUUUGCAUAUAUUUGUUCCUUUGUUGCUGUGUUGUCUUUGUUUCAAGUAUAGGACCAAUGUCUAGUCCUAAGAGUGUGAUUCAAAGCAGCCUUGUGUUUGUUCUACAGGGCUCUGCUGCAACUUAAUAUGUUGAAGAAGUCAAUCUAAGCUCGAGCAAUGAUUGUUCAACAUAUGCAAUGAAAGUGGAAAAUUAGUCUUUUGUUCAAGUCGAGGUCAAUGCUUCAGGGCCUCAAGUUGAUGAAAGGCUUUGCUUUUUUUUUUUUUUUGGUUCAGAAUAAAUUAUUACAUUGCUUAUGAGACUAUUAAAAGGAAGACUUAAAAUGUAAUGUCAAUGUUCAUUGCAAAUGCUAUUUAAAGUGAUUACCUUGGAAAUUUGAUCAGGUCAUUCAAAUGAGAUCUCCUUGCAAUGCAGAUAAAUCAGUGACUACAACCGGUGAAGGUCUUGUAAGGUUUGGGGAGAUAUGAGUAGAAGUGUCUGACAAAUGCUAAGUAAUUUUUUUAUUUCUUUGCAGAAUUUAGGCUUAGCGAGAAAAUGGUGACCUUGGACCAAGAAUAAUAUCUUAUAUCAAAUUG